GAGUACCUUAAGACCAAAUACCAACAAGGAAUCUAGCUUCAUUUUGAUUUAAUCUGCAGUACUAGGUGUUGAGACCGUUCGCAUGCAGUCUGUUAGAGUUAGAUUUGGUCAUGGAUCUGGUUAGGUUUCUUACCCAUUUCCACCCUCGGUUGUUUAGGCUUUGGAUGACGAUGGGUUUGGCUCUAUGCUAGGUUGGGAGUUAUCGAAUUUCCUGAUCUUCUUUAUUUUUUUGGGAUAUGAGUCUUCUUCAAACAAUUCACAGGCUUUUCGUAUAAACAAAAUCUAAACCAAGUAUCCAUCAGCUACAAGAGAGUAUUUACUGUAAUCAGAUAUUAAGUAUUCCUGUAUUUGAAUCCUAUGUCGAAAUCACCCCUGCCCCGUAUGCACCUCCCAGUCCAUAACCGGGGAUAUUUUCGUCAUUUAAUAGUUCCCGCGGGCCGUCGAUCGAGAGAAGCAACCGAAAACGAGCAACGCUCGAAAGAGGAAGGAGGGGGAAUGGGGCAUUGCAAGCCAUUGGGGUUGUUGAUAGGGUCGGCCUUCGCUGUGCGGGCCUUGGCGUUUUCUCUCGUCGGCGCCGUCGUCUGGAUCAUAGGGUUGGUAGCGAUUGGCUCCUUGUCCUUUGUCUCCUACAGUCAUGGAUUUGUGGAUCAGAGUGAGUCCGUGGUUUUAUGAGGGGGAUAUUUUGUUCCCUGGCCUCGGUUAUUGGAUUGCAGGACCAUCGUGCUUUGCAGGGUUGACAAAUCUGGCCGUGGAUCUGAUAAAGCUGGCCGUCAAAGUCAUCAGAUGGUUCAUCGAUCAGAUUCCUCGCUGAUUUCUCCAGUCUGCGAUCGAUUCUGUCUUGCGAUUUGCGAUGGUUCAUUUGCCAUGCAUUAUGAUGCGAUAAUUGAUUCUAUAAGUGGUCUCUAUGGUUUUUUUUCGAACAUCGCAUGUUUGUUUUCCCCUUGUAACUAUGGGAUGAUUUCUUCCAUCAAAAAACCACUCAAAAGAAGAAAAAAAGACUUCUUUCAUCAAAAAAAUUGUGGGAUGACUUCUUCCUACUGGUUGUAAAUUAGAGUCUGGGACACAUGGAAGGAUUAUGAUAAUUGUUAUUUUUGUUUUUCCAAUUAGACACUCGAGGAAUCACCUCGACGACCCUGUGCUGAUCAUGCCAGAUUAAUGCGAAGUUGUGCUUAG